rnacentral:lncRNA from 1 species
GUAGGACAAGGUAAGGUUAGGGAAUUAAGAGUGUGAUGAUUAAGGAAAUGGGAGGAAAGAUCUCAAAAUGGAUAGAAAGAGGGUGUUUAUAAUAUAAGUUGUUGAAGUGAUUUUCAAGAUGAUCAGAGAGUUGAGUUGAUUGAAAAAUUCAAGUUGCAGAUUAAGUUGAAGUCAGUUUUCAUCAGGUAUGGUUUGUGGUG